AUGGCAUGCAAACUUUGCUUUUGUGCUACAAAAAAGGAACAUGAUAACUAUAUUUGCACUUCCUGUCAUGAAGUAGCUCAAAAUCCAGACAUGCGGUACCUACUCAAACUGAAGGUACGCGAUGGCACGGCAACAACAACUUUCGUGGUUUUUAACGAGGUAGCAAAGAGACUUUUAGGCAACAUAUCUGCAUCGACCCUAUUAGAGCAGGAGGGAUUAAACAACACGGUACCAGAUGUUAUUCAGAAUCUUUAUGGCAGAACACUCAUAUUCCGACUGAAGUUAAAUUCAAGGAAUCUAGAAGAGUGUAUGGAAAAUUUUAAAGUGAGCUACACUUUUGAAGUUGAUGACAAACUUGAGAUGGAAAAUUCAAAUGAAAUGGCUGAAGAGGGCAUACUAGAAAGGCAAGACACACGAGGUUCUUCAAAUUCUGAUAUGCACAAUUUCCAUAACAAGGUGAACCACUCCUCCAAGAAUGCAACAAAUGAUGAGAAGAAGGAUAUGUGCAGAAAGGAAACCUCAAUAUCAUCCAACAAAAAACAACAACGGAGGACAAAGAUACAGAAGUCUAGCAAAAGAUAUGAAAAAGAUGUGAGACCAGUUGCUUCUAGAACAGUUGUUAAAAUUGAAGCUCCUGAUGACGAGGAGGUAGCAAACAUUCAAGCUACAAGUUCAGAUACAAUUACCAUAGAAGAUGAUUCAGAUAAAGACCACAGACAAAACAAGACAGAUGUUAGAAGGCCUACCAACAGGAAACUCAGAAGAGUUAUGAACAAAAUCAAAUUCAAUAGUGAGGUACAAGAUGAAGAAGAAGAAGAAGAAGAAAAUGAUGAAACCGUAGAUCCAAGAUAUAACAAAGAUUUCAGAAAUGACAACCACAAUGAGGGAUAUAAAAAUCCUGCGACCAAGGUACAAGAGGAAGAAGAUGACAUAGAUGAUGAUUCCGCCAAUGAAGAAACCAAUAAUGAGGUACAAGAGGAAGGAAAUGACAUAGAUGGUGAUCUCACAAUUGAAGAAAGUACAAGAAUGAACAAGGGAGACAACAAUAGUCAUGCCGACAAUUGCACCAUCAAAGGUGUCAUUGAUGAAGAAUGGAACGCCAAAACUAGAAGCAAAAUAAGGAAGGAAAGGACUGAUUGCAUAAAGAAGAGGAAAAAACCAUAUGAACACAUCCAAUGA
rnacentral:rRNA from 1 species